GUAGUCGGAUUCGCAUCAAUCCACAUGUAUUGGGGUAGAUUGGAGUGGAACUUAAACUAAAUUCCACCCAAAUCCACUCCAACACCGGUGGAUUGAGGUGAAUCCGACA
rfam:Sorghum bicolor cultivar BTx623 chromosome 7, whole genome shotgun sequence.